GGGUGAGGAAGGCCCUCGGGUUGUAAAGCCCUGUCAGGAGUUAAGAAAUAUAAGUGCGCUAAUAUCGCAUUUAUUUGACGAAGGCUCCAAAGGAAGUCACGGCUAACUCUGUGCCAGCAGCCGCGGUAAUACAGAGGUGGCAAGCGUUGUUCGGAAUUAUUGGGCGUAAAGAGCACGUAGGUGGGUUUGUAAGUCAGAUGUGAAAGCCUUCUGUUCAACGGAAGAAUUGCAUCUGAAACUGCGAGUCUUGAGUGUAGGAGGGGAGAAUGGAACUUCUGGUGGAGCGGUGAAAUGCGUAGAUAUCAGAAGGAACGCCGGCGGCGAAAGCGAUUCUCUGGCCUAUUACUGACACUCAGUGUGCGAAAGCUAGGGGAGCAAACGGGAUUAGAUACCCCGGUAGUCCUAGCCGUAAACGAUGGGCACUAAGUAGAGGGGUUU
rnacentral:rRNA from 1 species